UAUAUCAUUUCUUUGUUUGUUGCAGCUUGUUAAGCAUGUUGGCCAACUAUGGUUGUUUUUAAACGUGAUUUAUAAAUAAAAUUGAACUGAA